rnacentral:misc_RNA from 1 species
GAUGAAGAACGUAGCGAAAUGCGAUAAGUAAUGUGAAUUGCAGAAUUCAGUGAAUCAUCGAAUCUUUGAACGCACAUUGCGCCCAUUAGUAUUCUAGUGGGCAUGCCUGUUCGAGCUUCAUUUCAACCCUUAAGCCUAGCUUAGUAUUGGGAAUCGACUUUACUGUCGUUCCUCAAAUUCAACGGCGGAUUUAUAGCAAUCUCUGAACGUAGUAAUUUUUUUCCUCGUUUUUGAAAUACUAUAAACCUCAGCCGCUAAACCCCCAAUUUUUUUAUGGUUGACCUCGGAUCAGGUAGGAAUACCCGCUGAACUUAAGCAUAUCAAUAAGCGGAGGA